rnacentral:rRNA from 1 species
GACGAGGAGGCGAGCGUUUGUCCGGAUUCAUUGGGCGUAAAGAGCACGCAGGCGGUUUGGCAAGUCGGAUGUGAAAACCCGAAGCUCAACUUCGGGCCUGCAUCCGAAACUGCCCGACUAGAGGUAGGAGGGGAGAUCGGAAUUCCGUGGGUAGUACGGUGAAAUGCGCAGAAUAUCAGGAGGAACACCGGUGGCGAAGGCGGGACUCGUGGGCCGAGUGACUGACGCUGGAGG